CCUACGGGUGGCAGCAGUGAGGAAUAUUGGGCAAUGGCCGAGAGGCUGAACCAGCCAAGUCGCGUGAGGGAAGACGGCCCUACGGGUGGUAAACCCCUUUUGUAGGGGAGCAAAGCGAACCACGUGUGGAUCAUUGAGAGGACCCGAAGAAAAAGCAUCGGCUAACUCCGUGCCAGCAGCCGCGGAAAUACGGAGGGUGCGAGCGUUAUGCGGAUUUAUUGGGUUGAAAGUGUGCGCAGGGGGAGGUGCAAGUCAGCGGUCAAAUUGCGGGGCUCAACCCCGUACUGCCGUUGAAACUGCAUCCCUUGAGUGCGCGAGAAGUAUGCGGAAUGCGUGGUGUAGCGGUGAAAUGCAUAGAUAUCACGCAGAACUCCGAUUGCGAAGGCAGCAUACCGGCGCGCAACUGACGCUCAUGCACGAAAGCGUGGGUAUCGAACAGGAUUAGAUACCCUGGUAGUC
rnacentral:rRNA from 1 species